GUUGGGACACAUUCUCCAGCCUCUUCUGUUUGCAGGUGCCUGAGGACACCUUCAAACCUUCUCUGCUCCGUUGUAGAACUUUUUCCAGCAAGGGGGAGAGGAAGGACAAAAGGCUAUGCCUUGGGCUCCAAAGUUUAGGAGAGGAGCCAUGGAGAUGGACAGAGAGAGAUCCCAUUGUCUCUGGACACUGCUGGCCAAGGGCCUCCACCUCAGGAGCUGCUGCCUCUCAUCCACUUCCGGGGCGAGGGUAAUGGAAGCUCCCUACCGCCAAGCACCACGACCCUCCCCUGCCUUCUCCAGGCCUAAGGGUCAAGCUGCCAGGCCACCAGGCAGUGCCAGGUCCUGGCACAGGCUAGGUGCCUUCUGACUGUUGGUUGAUGCAGGAAUAGACAUGAUCAUGUGACUGCUGCCCUCCCUCCAACCCCCAUCCAGCAGGGAGAGGCCCACUCUGGCCUCUGGAAGCCGGAGAAGAGGCUCACCUGCCCAAAGGCCUUCUGUCCAAAGUUCAAGGGAGCCCCACCCCUCCCAGAUGCUCAGCUCACCCCACCCCCAACAGGCAGGGCUACAGUGUGGUGGGCACUGCCACACCCGGACCUGCCACAACCUCUUGGAGUCAGUGACAAGAACCAAACGCACCCCAGCCUCCACCCCUCCCCUUUCCUGCUUUUAUUAUUUUCUUUUCCAUAAAGAUUAGUCUGUGUUGCUCCUCUAUCAAGGCCUGGAGGAUAAACAUGUGGUCCGGAGGCAGAGAAACCCCAGGCCUGAAGGCCCCACUGCCCCCACCCCAGCAGCAUAAACCCAGGGCUUUUAAGCAAG
rnacentral:lncRNA from 1 species